UUUCGCAAUGCCCGAAAGGGUGACGAAGCGACGCCGCGUGGGUGAGGAAGGCCCUCGGGUUGUAAAGCCCUGUCAGGAGUUAAGAAAUGUAGACUCGCUAAUACCGUGUCUAUUUGACAAAGGCUCCAAAGGAAGCCACGGCUAACUCUGUGCCAGCAGCCGCGGUAAUACAGAGGUGGCAAGCGUUGUUCGGAAUUAUUGGGCGUAAAGAGCACGUAGGUGGAUUUGUAAGUCAGAUGUGAAAGCCUUCUGUUCAACGGGAGAAUUGCAUCUGAAACUACAGACCUUGAGUAUAGGAGGGGAGAAUGGAACUUCUGGUGGAGCGGUGAAAUGCGUAGAUAUCAGAAGGAACGCCGGCGGCGAAAGCGAUUCUCUGGCCUAUUACUGACACUCAGUGUGCGAAAGCUAGGGGAGCAAACGGGAUUAGAUACCCCGGUAGUCCUAGCCGUAAACGAUGGGCACUAAGUAGAGGGGUUUUA
rnacentral:rRNA from 1 species